GACGAACGCUGGCGGCGUGCCUAAUACAUGCAAGUCGAGCGAACAGACGAGGAGCUUGCGCCUCUGACGUUAGCGGCGGACGGGUGAGAAACACGUGGAUAACCUACCUAUAAGACGGGGAAAACUUCGGGACACCGGAGCAAAUAGCGGAGAAUAUAUUGAACCGCGGGGUGCAAUAGUGAAAGACGGUUGUGGUGUCACUAAUAGAUGGAUCCGCGCCGCAUGAGCUAGUUGGUAAGGUAACGGGUUACCAAGGGAACGAUGCGUAGCCGACCUGACGGGGUGAUCGGCCACACUGGAGCUGAGACGCGGUCCAGACUCCUACGGGAGGCAGCAGUAGGGAAUCUUCCGCAAUGGGCGAAAGCUUGACGGAGCGACGCCGCGUGAGUGAUGAAGGUCUUCGGAUCGUAAAACUCUGUUAUUAGGGAAGAACAAAUGUGUAAGUAACUAUGCACGUCUUGACGGUACCUAAUCAGAAAGCCACGGCUAACUACGUG
rnacentral:rRNA from 1 species